AAUAUUAUAAUUAAUUGCGAUGUUUAGCGCUACUGUUAAUUUAUGGUAGCGUUUCCUGAAUACGUCAGAAUAGUAUUCCGGAACUAUGUUUAAGCGCAAGUCAAGUGGAACGAGAAAAACGUUACACAACAGCCGCGUGUCUUGCUUUAUUUUCUGUCCGUGUAAGUUGCAAAAGAGAGACUCGACCAAGUGGCAAAGAAAUGGAAGAAAAAGUGUUAUGUCCCCCGAACAGGCGCAUUAUAUCAGAUCCAAUGAUUAUUUUGGCGACAGAAAAAAUGGACGAGCUAUCGGUUUUCCAGCAUGUGAAGCAUGCCAUAACAAUGCAUUGAAAGGAGGAAAUACAUCCGAUACGUUUCAUCACCUGCUGGCUAAUCACCAGAAUUUGUGCUCCAAAAAUGGUCUGGCGUUCCUUUCAGCGUGACAAGUUACACGUUUCCCCCUCGUUUUUGUCGUCGGACGGGUUUGGUGCCAGUGUGUAGGGACCUGUAGAAGAAAAUGUCUUCUCAAGAUCCUCAGUCACUGAACAUUGACCAUCAGCUCCUCCUGUGAGCAAAGCCACUCCUCGUACUGCUGCAUGGCCACGUAACGCUCGCGCCUCUCCUGACUGUACAUGACCAGCAUCCGUCUCAGUUUGUACAUUUCUUUUUUCAAGUGCUGUUCACUCUCUUUUGCCCUGAGCUGUUCUUGUCUCAGAAGAUAUGUGAGUUGUUCAUUUUUCUUUCUCAGUGCUUCUCCUACUGAUUCACCUGAACUCCCACAGUGGAGAUAACCCGUCUGUUGUGUCAGUGCCGUCAUGUUUGUGUAUACUUUACUCUGUUUGAUUUUGAGAACAAUGGUUCUCUGAGUGUGAGGCUGUUGUACUGCUGAUGUACUUUUUUUACUAAAUAUUUUGUUGUCCUAACGAUGUGACAUUUUAAUACUUUUAGUCAUUUUUGAGAAACUUUUAUUUUUGGAAAUUGGUUCAG